UUUUAGGAAUAUUUCUGCGCGCCGCAUAGGUGGCAAACAUAUUUUGCAUUGAAGUCUCAUUCCUUCCCACAAUGGAAGGAGGAUGCGAAGGGACUGGAGAAUCGUGAGACUGAAUAAACUUGCUUUCAUUCUCUGAGAUGAAGUAUGUGAUCCAAGUUCACACGAAGGAAGAAAUGAAGGUCUAACCCCCACAGGCUUGAUAUCCUGCAUUUGGCUCCAUCAAGCUCGAAAGACGGGACCCAACUGAACGUGCAGUUAGGAGUAUUUGUGGAAGGGGACUGACUCCGCUUGGGUCACGAAGUUGUCCGUGACACAUACUGCUAUCGGAUCGAAGGAACAGAACCCCACCUAAACCUUGCUGCCAAUGCCUGACACACCCAGGUGAAGGGUAGACACCGUCACAGUAAAGCGCAAAGCAGAACUCCGGGAAGCCCAAAAUGUUUCUGCAAAAAAAAAAUACAUGCGCGAGUGUUCUCGGAAAUUCUGGUCGCCUCGAUUUGCAGAGGAAAAAAAAGGAAGAUAAGGAGGGUGAGAAUUUUGUCAAUUGGACCCUCUAUUUGGUGACCAAUAUAACACACUCAGUUACCGUCAUCGACACCUCAGGCUAUAAACAUCUUGGAGGACGACAAUCAUGGAACAGAGGGAAACGGUGAAUUUUUAAGUUGGGGGACUCAUCAAUGGCCAUUGAGCACAAGCAACACAUAGAUCACAUUCCCCACUGAGGCGUUCAACAAUGGGAAAAAACAAUGGCUUGGAUUUUGCAACAGUAAUCAUGACAACACUGUCAGCAUUCACUGUCAUUGCUCCUCUGAAACUGACAGCGAUUUCUUGAAUCUGCACAAAUGCGGUUCAAAACAGAAACCCAGAAGUUGCUGUAAAUGAUUCUUUGUUUCUCUAGGGGGUGUGCUGUUGAGGUCACUCCCAGAAUGCAGUCAAUUAGAAAUCAUUGACCUGAUGAGAACUUCCACUUUUAUACAAUUAGUUUUGUUGUAAAAAUCCUUGAAAAGGUUACACCUUGUUCAUUGAGUUACAACUGGAUUUUUAACAGUGUACUAAGUUCACAAUGACUGCUUGAGAAACUCAUUGCUCCUGAACAAGUAAUUUUAUAUUUGUUGAAUAUUAAGUUUCUUCAUCGUGAUAAAAAUUUCAAAAUAUUUUUAAUAUAAUAUUCUUUAACCUUAUUAUGUUUUAGCUUCUACCAUAACCCAUGUGUAUGUUCCAACCAUUUAUUUUGGUACCGGAAAAUUUCAAACUAAAAAUGAAGGAAUUCAAUGUU